rnacentral:snRNA from 1 species
GGAUAUGAGGAAUAUAUGGCUGUGACAUCACCCCGUUGAUCAUCGUAAUGGAUUUGGCUCAUCUGGUUGAGGAGGUGGGUGUCCCCUUCCUCCCUCACCACUCCGUGUGUUUCCUUCCCAAAGCUGCACACUUCCUCAGUCUAAGACCAGUGUAUCUCAGUCAAAGACUGCGAUCUAUCUUUCCUGAUAGAGGAGGACUGAAUUUUUUCCUCAAAGGUAUACCAAUAGCUGUGCUCCCUUGCUAGAAUCUCCAAAAAAACUCUCAAGGUCCGUUUGUAGGAGAAGGUAGUGUGGUCACGCUUCCAUAAAUUUAAAACAAAUAAAAAAUGGUAUAU